AUGUCUGUGAUAUAUCUUUGUGAACUGCCUGAAAUUAUGGGGAAAUUUGACCCCGAAAAAGCAAAAGCUCUUGGUUUGAAACGUGGGCCAAAAUUUGGUGAGCUGCAAUCAGGGAAAUCAGUGAAGUCAGACCUCCAGGAUAUCAUGGUUCAUCCAAGUGAUGUGAUGGGUCCUUCAAUUCCUGGUCCUAUUGUAUUUCUUGUUGACUGCCCAACAGAAUCUCAUGUACAAGAAUUAUUGUCCAUACAAUCCCUUAAUAGUUACCAUGCAGAUUACUCAGGUAGCUCACCAGAGAAUGUGAAAACUGUCACUUGUAUCAUUCAUUUAAGUCCUGCUUCUGUAAUAAGCUGCCCCAGUUACCAGAAGUGGAUGAAGAAAUUUGGUUCAGCCCAGCACAUUAUGGCUGGACAUGAAAUGAAGAAUGUGGAAAUUCCUAUUCUUAGAUCCAGUGCUAGAAUUGCUGCAAGGCUUAAUUACCUAUGUCCUCAGUUCUUUCCAGCUCCUGGUUUUUGGUCACUUAAGCAGCUUAACAGCUCAAAGAUAGAUUCUAUAUUUUCAGGCGAGGAUUGUGUCUCAAAGUUCCCUGAAAGCAUAUUGGCUGAAAAUCUUCUUAAGUUCAAUUUGCGUCCUCAUGCUCAUCUUGGAAUGGACAAAUCCAAUAUUCCAAGUUUGAUGUCUCCCACAGAAGUUAUUGAGGAGUUGGUGACAGAGAUUCCAGAAAUUGUUGAUGCUGCUCAACAUGUUCGCCAGUUCUGGCUUGGGUCCGGAGAAACGAAAGGAGACGUGACCCUUGCGCAAGACAAUAAAUUAAUGAUUGAAGAGCCUUGGCCAGGAGAGAAUGCUCUGCCUAGUUGUUUGGAAAACAUAAGGAGAGACGACCUAGAGAUUGUGCUUCUGGGGACUGGUUCAUCCCAACCUUCUAAGUACCGAAAUGUUAGUUCUGUCUAUAUUAAUCUCUUCUCUAAAGGAGGUUUGCUCUUAGACUGUGGGGAAGGAACCCUUGGACAACUGAAAAGAAGGUUGUAUAUUUCAAACUUAUGAUUAAAAUGCUAUUCUCAUUAUUUUUCCUUCUUUAAACAUGUUAUGAUUGGUGUCCGACAACAGAUAUGGUGUGGAGGGUGCUGAUAUUGUUGUAAGAAAUCUGAGGUGUAUUUGGAUUUCUCAUAUUCAUGCCGAUCACCAUACAGGAUUAGCAAGAAUACUUGCUCUGCGACGUGACUUGUUGAAGGGCUUGGCCCAUGAGCCAUUACUUGUUGUUGGGCCAAGUCAGCUUAAGAGAUUUCUAGAUGCAUAUCAAAGACUGGAGGACCUAGAUAUGCAGUUCCUUGAUUGUAGGAGCACCAAUUUAGCCUCUUGGGAAGCUUAUGAGGGCAAUAGUGAGUAUAAGGAUUGCUCAACUACAGGAAGUCCAAAUAAUCUUGAGGAUGUAAACAAACCUACAGUGAAUAAUGAGUCAACCCUGUUUGCUAGAUGUAGCCGUAUGCAGAGCUACUGGAAGAGACCAGGCAGUCCAGUUGACAAUGCGAUGAUUUUCCCAGUUCUGAAGAGUUUGAAGAAAGUGCUCGGUGAAGCAGGAUUGGAGGCAUUGAUUAGUUUCCCUGUUGUACAUUGUCCACAGGCAUUUGGCAUUGUGCUGAAGGCAGCAGAGAGAAUCAAUUCUGUUGGGAAAAUGAUACCAGGGUGGAAGAUUGUGUACUCAGGUGACACUAGGCCCUGUCCAGAACUGGUAGAAGCAUCUAAUGGAGCAACAGUCCUUAUACACGAGGCAACUUUUGAGGAUGACUUGGUGGAGGAAGCUGUAGCCAGAAACCACAGCACAACAAAGGAAGCCAUAGAAGUAGGAAACUCCGCGGCUGCGUACCGUAUCAUCCUCACCCACUUCAGCCAGAGAUACCCAAAAAUACCUGUUUUUGAUGAAACUCACAUGCACAAAACUUGCAUUGCUUUUGACAUGAUGAGUGUUAACAUGGCAGACUUGCCUGUGCUUCCUAGAGUACUUCCUUACCUUAAAUUACUUUUCAAAAAUGAGACGAUAGUUGAUGAAUUGAAUGAUGUUACUGAUGCUGUAAGUGCAGUUUCUUGAUUAAUUUAUUGGAUAUAUUCAUAUUUGGCCAAAAA
rnacentral:misc_RNA from 1 species